rnacentral:rRNA from 1 species
UAGUCCUAGCAGUAAACGAUGCUCACUAGGUGUCGGUGGAUUCGACCCCAUCGGUGCCGUAGCUAACGCGUUAAGUGAGCCGCCUGGGGAGUACGAUCGCAAGAUUAAAACUCAAAGAAAUUGACGGGGCCCCGCACAAGCGGUGGAGUAUGUGGCUUAAUUCGAUGCAACGCGAAGAACCUUACCUAGGCUUGACAUGUAGAGUUCACCCGUGGAAACACGGUGUCCCGCAAGGGAGAUCUUCACAGGUGCUGCAUGGCUGUCGUCAGCUCGUGUCGUGAGAUGUUAGGUUAAGUCCUGCAACGAGCGCAACCCUCGUGAUUAGUUAUACGCUUCGGCUCACUAGUCAGACUGCCCUGUUCAACGGGGAGAAGGUGGGGAUGACGUCAAGUCAGUAUGGCCCUUAUGCCUAGGGGCUGCACACGUACUACAAUGCACACUACAGAGGGGACGCGAGACCGCGAGGGUGGGAGCAAAUCCCAG